GUAAAACUCGUUACAGGUGAUAUUUACGAAUUUAGAUUUCUAGGAUCAAUUUUCGAGGAACGGUGACGAAGUGCUGGUCAUGUCGGAGUAUGUUAAACAGUAUGGAUCAUAUUGAGUCGGCACAUGAAAACAAGUGAAUGAGAUAAAAGAAAUUCGAUUCGUUGGGAAGGGAACAGAGGGACAAACUUGAAAAGGAGGUUAAUCGUAUCGAAAAAAAGUGUGAAGAGAAAAUGUAACAAAUUUGUCUUACCAUGCGUCAGAAUGUUGAUGGUUUCGUUGUGAAGAUAGAACAUGCUUCCGAGGGACUCCCAGAAUGUGAGUAAGGGCCUGUAACCGGUAUGGAUGUAAGGGUUGAAUUGUAAAUGGGGAGGCAUGUCCCGCCAUCGGAGGAGUGCCUUCCUCGCCAUCAGGGCAUCCCGCCACAGCCAAGGCCCCAAACCGACUGAGGGACGGUUACCCAGAAUUCCGUUCGUAGGGAUCCGGAGGCGGGGGUCGGACUCCCUCCGGGUCACCGGGGAAACCGUUCCCGCUCCCCUUUAUUGAUUCCACUUUCUACGAGAUGGCCAGAAUGUGUCUCAACUCGCCUUCUUCCCUUUUAUUCCGGUCCAUCUGUAACUCGAAACACGACACUUUGAACCUGAAUAAAUUGAUUUUGGCGAUAUGGAGGGGAAGAGCUUGUCUUUAUUUUCUUGAUUUGAACGAAUUCGUUUCGGAGGUCCGAGACGAGACGAGGCCGUUUGGGCGGGGACGCGGAGAACAAUUAAACGGAAGGGGUUGGAAAUAAAUGUUUGCCAGAGGGGUGGAGGGGUGAGAUUUUUAUUGGGGGGAGGUAAACCUACACCGGCAACCCCCCCGUAUACCAACAACAUUCCCACCUCAAAGUAUAAGCUACCCAGCGCAUGCUUCUCAGAAACACUUGCGCAAUUGUCUACAGCUAUUUGAUCUCUGUUCUUCGAAGAUGGAUUCCUUUGGCAACAUCGGAAGUGAGAGUUUAUCCGUACUUCAUUACUGUGUUAAAAACUACUGCAUCGUUAUAAUAUAUAUUAUCCUAUGAUCAAAUUAUUCCGAAAUAAGUUGCGAAGCAUUCCACGAAACCCCGGGACAUUUUUACACGGGGCUAAGGUCUACCAUUCCGCACAGCUUUACUGUCCUUCUGGUUUAUCGCUGUGAACGCCGUGUUUACUCUAGUCUACCCACAUUCGAAACAGAAGUGAAAACACCAUUUCUUGGAUAAUAUUCAAUAAAAUUUCUUUUUAAUAA